AAGUGAGGACGACCUCACCGCUCCACCCUUGAUCGGGGACGACCCCA
rnacentral:ncRNA from 1 species